rnacentral:rRNA from 1 species
AUACGGAGGGGGCUAGCGUUGUUCGGAAUUACUGGGCGUAAAGCGCGCGUAGGCGGAUUGGUCAGUUGGGGGUGAAAUCCCGAGGCUUAACCUCGGAACUGCCUUCAAAACUGCCAGUCUUGAGUCCGGGAGAGGUGAGUGGAAUUCCUAGUGUAGAGGUGAAAUUCGUAGAUAUUAGGAAGAACACCAGUGGCGAAGGCGGCUCACUGGCCCGGUACUGACGCUGAGGCGCGAAAGCGUGGGGAGCAAACAGGAUUAGAAACCCCAUUAGUCC